GUAGUCAACUGCAUGUGGGUCUCCUCAAGAGGCUCAACACACAAUAUUGAAUUCAAACAUUCUUUCCCUCCCUCUCACUCACUACGUUCGUCUCUGCCGCACUUGAGUUUCCCUCGGCGGCGAAGCUUUUCCAGAAAAAAAAUCAAAUCCACCAUCAUCUUCCUCUUUUUAAGCUAAACACAGAAAUGCCAAUAAUUUUCUUUGAAACCUAAACCUAACCAUAAAAUCUAAUCGAACCAAAUAGCGGAAGAACCCUAGGUCUUGAAUCUGAAAUUAAAUGGAUAUCUGGUUGAAUUGGAGCCCAAAAGGUUGGGACUCUGAUUCCCUGGGCUCUAAGCUACAGACCAGUAACGAGAUUGUAGUGAAAUGAAGAAAAGGAUCGAGCAACCUACCAGAUAAGACGAAGCUGGAGACGGCGACGACAACAAAAUUCAGAAUGUAAUUCAACUCAAUGUUCUGUUAAUGCAAAACCAGUUGGGAUAAUUGACUCAGUUAGAUUGGUUGCCUUGUUUUCAUCAAUGUCAGUUAGGUUCGAAUGUUAAGGUGAAAACCAGUUGAGCAAUGCAUUGAGUUAGACUGGUUCUGUCUGGAAUUCUUCUUUGCAAUUUGUUGUGUUGUGAUACAUGACUGCAAUUACCAUGCUUGCAUUACUCAUUCUGCAGCAUGUACAUUAUGCAUUUCAAGUCAUGUCGGGCUUCUUGGUUUGCAACAUAUUCUGACUUGGAAAAUUCGAGAGGCAUGGCCAUGGCCUUGUGGACAUGGAAUGGACAAGAGGUAUGAUGACAAUUAUCAACAUGGAUUUUGAAGCCAUCAUGUACAAGAAGCAAACCAAAUAUUAACAUUGCUUUGGAAGAUAGGAUUAGACUAGGAUGGGAAGUUUUAGGGGUUUAGAAUGGAAAAUGAUUUGAGUUGACUUUGGUCAAAGUUGACCAAAAAGUCAACAUUAGGUCAACAUGUAAUUUUAUUCAUUUUUGUCUGUAAUGAAACAUUUUAUGGAUAAAAAUGAAUGGAAUUGGUUAUUUGAAUGAAAAUGAAUGGAUCUGGUAGAUGAAUAUGUUAAUUGA